ACCAGUCGGAGGCUCAGCCUUGCAAUGCGACGCGCCCACUCCGCACAAUCCGAGUCGCCCGUCCCCGACAGGCGACUGUACCGGAAAGGCGUUGGCUCGUCCACCUCUUCGCCGGCACAAUGAAGUGAUUCGCGACGAGGGUGGGAGCCUGAAUGGGACGCGACGCGAACGUCGACAGCCACGGGGUGGGCUUACGAUCGACGGGCGGCUGACACCUUGUGCAAUGUGGGUACUGGAAGGGAGGUGAGUUCCGGUCUUCUGUGGCGAAGACUGGCAUGGGAUGGACGUACGUGGUGGUGGGUCAGCCAUGCUAUGCGGCGUGCCGUCGCCAUGAUAACGAACGCGCCACUAAAAAGAGAAGAGAGGAAGCUACGCCGCCGCAACCGCAGCUAUAAGUUGCACAAUCGUUGGGGAGGGAAGCGAGGGAACGUACUGAGAGGGACUGGUGAAUGGGCACCUCCGACGAGCUGAUAGAUGAAUGUCAGCGGGGGGCAAGAGAGUAGACGGAGGUGGGACCACUUACGCGCCGAUAGCGAGGUGCCCAGAGACCCCGUCCCCACCGUAGAUGGCGAGGACAUUGUGGGGGAGAAUCAUCCGAGCUCGACAUUCGACCCCUCGCUCGAGAGCGUACGACCAGCGACCCACAUAGCAUACACCAAUGGGAGUCGUCGGCGCACCUAGGAGGACGAGGAGGGGAAGAAGUGAACAUGGGAGUUCUGAGGAAAGAUAGGACGGCUGAGAGAACGGGCUUUUAUACUCUGGAGGCUGGGGUAUUCGGCACCUGUCGGCAUGUUGAAGUUGGGGUCAGCCCUGGAGAUCGGACACGAGGUCAGCCUGUACUCGGGUUGAGGAGGCCCGUGAUUCUGUUGUUCGCCCGUCUCAGCGAUUGAUUGCUAUGGUGGGCCAGUGGCUGACAUGGACAGGUCGUGAUCGUGCCCUGCCAUCUCCAACCUGCGUUCUACAACACCGCCCGGCGAAUAACACUUGUAAUAGCCUCGGUGCCACCUCAGCGGCGAUCAAAACUUGCCGGGCACUAGGCACAGAUUGACUCUGGUCUCAAUUCCUGCACGUUCGUGUCUGCGGCAAUCCUGCUUAGUAGGGGUAUGCUCAAGCGAGCACAAGCUAUCGUCGGGUGAGAACUCGGAUCCACUUUUCUCUUCGGGUCUUUUGUGAGCUAAGGAAGGUGACAAUCCUCCGCCAUAUUGGAGAGUGAACGAUGGGGGCGUGAAGGGAGAAUUCUGGUGGGCGACAAUCGGCAACGCGACCCACACCAGUGAGCAAAGGUUCACGAGGAAGCUGAGACCGAGUAAGAUGUGAUUUACUCCCGUAUUCGGACCAGUGGUGAUGCCAAUCGACGUAGAGCAGUCCUUCGCUUCAAGUCGAACCGAUCUUCUGGGUCGGCACGUACGAAUUCAUAUGGACAUCCAUGUCUAUCCGGGCACCAAUACUAUGAGCGACGGCAGAAAGGUCUUUGCUUUCUGCAUUAAUGUACUAUCGACGACUAUUCUCGGUAUACACACAGAACGGUGUACCUACGGCAGACAAACAAGCUCUCCGCGGACGAAUUCAUGGCGGACAGGUAAUUUCGGCGCAUGUUAGCUUCCCCACGUAGUGGGUACUAGUCCCGAGGGCCACGAAGAGGCCUGCGCCAGGAACGGCCUCGCCACACACGCGUACGCAUGUGUGGCGACGGCCGACCGUACCUCGGGGCCGGCGUUUGAGACGAGGGCCUACACCUUCGUGCGACUUGAGACCCUCGAGCCGGUGUCGGACACGAUCACACACUAUAUACACUACAUAUCCGAGGCCAUUUCUCUCAGUAACGGUCGGCCCCUUGGUGUUCGUCCUGACGGUUAAGUGUUGACGUACAAUGUUCCCGGGUCCGUUGAGUCUGGAGGGAGCGUCGUAGUGAGCGAAGGCAAGGAGACAAAGCAGGCAUGGAGCUCACGUUAAUCAUCCAGGGCCCUAUCCUUGCACGCUGUUGGAUAUUCAGAAUAUUCUCGUUGAGGUUGCCGCUCCCAGAAAUCUUGGACUUAUCAUGCGCUUCUCACAACGGCCGAGCUCGAAAUCUUGAGGCACACGUCGAUCCGAUCUCCCGCGACAAAUCACACACCCUAGGCCCAGGAUCCGGUCGAAGAGAGGAUAAGUCCGGAAUAUAUCACUUGAGGAACUUGAGGCCUGGUGAGCAACAAGGUGGUAUUAGCUACUAAUAGGCGAGGCGGCAAACUGGUAACGUACCAAGCCGCCGGUGAAACUUCCUCAUGUUCGCCUUCUCGUCCUAUGGUAAGUGCAUGAGUAUCCAGGUCGUCAGUGGUGAGAAAAUGCUAGUGAGUCGUCGGAAGGCCAAGGAACGGAUUGUCGGGGGCAGCGGCGAGAUGAUUCUGACCACGGUCGCCGUUAACAGAUAUAAUGAGAGGCGUUCGGAGCAGAAUGGUGAUAGACAUACAGUCGGCUUUGCGGGGGGGGUUGGCGUUGGCGGCGAAGGAGACGGGCAUUGGGAUGAGAGGACUUGAUCGCGAAAGUAAGGGCUUUUAUACCCACAAAAGCAUGAGGCGAACUUCAGGGCUGGAGGUUGGAACCGGGCGAGAGGCUGACUUCGGCGCUCUGCGCCACCAAGGCUUUCAUUCCUCGUCGCCCACAACGCGUCAGUAAACCGGACUGAUGUUAUCUUGUCACAGUCCCUGUUUUAGAAGGGAUCAACGGAUCAUAAAACCCCAUGAAACAAGAAGGUUUGUUGUGCCUCCCUGAGGUGACAGCGUUUCAUCGUCUCGGCCAUCGAUUGGGGGCGAGAUGAGAACAACGUCAUUUUGCCCCGAAUUUGGUCCAUCUGGAACUCGGAAUAUGGUUCCUAUUCAUGCAGUGGCGUGCGCGGUACCAGAACCGGCGGCGAUGACGUGCGGGAUAUAGCCCCUUAUGACAAGUGGCCCGGGUUGGGUGGAAAGUUAGUACAAUCUGACUCGGUUCGUUCACAUACCUUGUGGCUAGUGUGUCUGUGGAAUCGGAUGGCUCUGGAUGUGAGGUUGAAUCCGUAUUCAGCAGGACAUGACAGUAGAUAUCGUGGCGACUUGGAAGGACGCGGAGACUCGCCUGUGCUGACAUUUGUUUGCAACUGUGGCGACUAAGUACCAUCAGCCUCAUUCAAGCUGAAGGCCUUUCUUCGCCUGAGAUUGAAGCCACAUUCGAAUGUUACUCAGGCCCAUGUGCCUUCUACGAUCUACCACAGGACACCAACAUAAUCAACACGGGCCAGGCUAUCGCAAUCGCAAUCCAAUAAUAACAUUAGGUAUACGUCAGGUGGUGGUAUGGUCUAAUCUACAGUUCUGUAUGCCUUGGGUCCUGGCUCGACGUUCCCGAGCUCGACGUCCCUGACGCCGACGCCGUCUCCUCCGCGCCCCCAGUCGCGGUCGCACUCGUGGUGGUGGUAGCGCUGCUGCUACUCGACGACUUCUUCGGCGCCUUUGGCGGCCGCUUCCUGUACAGCUUCUGGAGGUGGUUCUCGAGCACCUUCGCGCGCGCCCGCAUCUCGCUCGACAGGAUGACCGGGUCCUCGUUCAUCUUCACGGUCUUCUGCUUCUCCACCCACUCGUUGAGCCACGACUCAUGGUCCUUCAGGACCUUUUCAAACUCGUCGAGCUCGUCCUUCGUGUACUUCGUCGGCGUGCCGGCCUCCAACUCACUCGUCAUGUUCUGCUUCGCCUCUGUCAGGAACAUGCGCGAGCUCCAGUUCCACAUCUGGCUGUUGUUUAGCGCCUUCGGGAACUCCUCUAUCUCCUUGUAGCGGUGUACGAUUGGUCGUUCUAGGCUCCUGUCGUGGGCGUCAGUCCAGGUGCAUCAUGACAUAUCAGCACAUUGAAUACGAACUCUAGUGCGGUUCGCUGGUCAAUGUAUUGGAUUGUAUCUGCGUCGUCGCCAUGCUCCUGAAGCCACGAGUAUGUCACGUCAACCUUCUCCGAAAUCCUCUUGCGUUCAGACGCCUGAGAGCACUUCAUGAAGGGAGACUCGGACGAAUCGUCUCCGAGCAGGUCCCGAAGUUUGUAGAUGUAGCCCUCGAGGGUGUUGCGCGCCUCCUCGCGCCUCCUCUUUACGUUCUCCUCGGCAUCGAUGGCUUUAAGUCGGUCCCGGCCAGAGCGCUUCUCGGCCAGAGACAUGGGCGGAAUGGACCCGAACUUCACGUCGAUCUCAAGGUUGAUAGGUUCCUUCUUCGUAAUCGCGGUCGCAGUAGACUCAGCGGCAGACGACGAAGAGGUCGAGGUAGAAUCCUCUUCAGCAGUGCCAACGUCUGCGGUCGCCCCCUCCUCGGGUGCGGAAGAUGAGGAACCUUUACCAAAGAAGUCCUUCAGUUUGCCUGCGCACUGGCAUGACACACCUGUCGAACAUUACAGAUGGAACUUGACUUACCAGCGAUGGACUCGUCCUUGAACUCGCCGGUGACGACGACAUCACGAAUCGAGGCGAAGCCAGACUCGGAAAGCAUGACAGUGGCCUUCACCACGGGCUCCGUGGCGCCAGCUUCGGUGAUGUUCUUGAUGGCCUCGGAGACACCGAUGAUGUUCGCCUCGAGGAUAUCCAUAGGGUAGCCACUACAUGAACUUAGAUUCGCUCCGAAGAACGUUACAUCUGAAGAACACGUACCGAAGAAGAGGUGCCUUGUAUGCGAGUUUGACCUUGAAGUCUUCCUGGCGUUUGAACGUCAGAGUCUUCUUCGUGCCAGUUUUUGUAUUAGCAGGGAAGAUGACGGUGUUAAUGUUCCGAGGACGGGCACCAGCCUGCUUGGACUCGGCCUGGUAAGACACUUGGAUGUCGUAGGGGCCGAUGUCGGUGACACGGAUAUCCUUAGUCUUGAAUUGACGGCUCAAUGCAGCUCCAUGGAGAGCGGCGCCAAGAACGGCAGCCUCGUCAGCGUUCACGUUAAAUGCGAGCUUCCCGGCGCCGACGGCCGCCUUGACCGCUUCCUGGAUCAUGGGGGUACGAGAUGCACCUCCGGUCAUGAUGACAGACGAGAUGUCAUCCUGCCAUUAGUAUCAGUGUCUAUCUCAUAGGCUCGCAGGCGGCAAAAGGACAUACCAGCUUCAACCCCGAGCGCGCGAGCGCCUCCUGGAUGGGCAAUGCAAAGUUGUGCUUGAGGUCCCGCGCCUCCGUCUCGAACUGCGCGCGAGUGAACUUCGCCUUGUAGUCGAGGUCAUAUGCGAGGCUCUCAAUCUGGACGUCGACAGCAUAAGCUAACUGUCCGACAAGCAUGCACGCAAUAACAACCUACCGUUGCUUGUGCCUCGUUGUUCGCACUCAGGAUCGCCUUCACACGCCCAGCCUCCUUCCACAGCUUCGCCAUCGCCUUCUUGUCCUGACUGAUGCUCCGCUUGUACCGCUUCUCGAAGUCCGUGACCAUCAUAUUACGGAGCCGCGCGUCCAGCUCCGUCCCGCCGUUGUACCGGUCGAAGCCAACGCCACGGAUAGUAAUCUGAGUCGCGUCCUUGCCCGCCUUGGACUUCCCCUCCGCCGGGACAGGCGCAAACUCCACAACAGUCGCGCGAAUCGAGGACGCACCCGCAUCGUAGAUGACGUGGAACUCUGGUGCCGAGAACGUCCGCGUCAUGGCGUAGUUGACUGCGACGGCGGUGCCGUCGUUGAUGAGGCCGAGGGUACGGAGCCCGGACAUCUCGAUGGCGUCCACGACGGCGUCGCGCUCGUACUGCGUGUAGUACGGAGGCACGGUGACGAUAACAUCGUACACCUUCUCGCCCGCAGUGCUCUCCGCGAGCUCGCGGAUGUACGAGAACUGCAUCGCGAUGAGCUCCUCCACGCUCCACUCCGUCCCAUCCGAGCGGCGCAGCGCAACGGUCCCGCGCUCGGUCUUGACGGUGUCGGCGGUGGAAAUGGACCCGAAAGAGAAGACCGCAUCCGAAUCAUAAGGCGCACCCUGCAGGACCUUGAGGUACGAGAACGAGUCCAGCGGGAAUCGACCGGCCUUAGAACGACGCCUAUAUUGAGCAUUGAUCGUCGAACUAUUAGGUUUUCUUGUUACUCACGAUGUUCGCUGCGUCCUGCCCAAACAGCCUGUCCUUGUGCUUCCACCCCACCGUCGCCUGGAUCUUCCGCUUCGAAUCCCGGUUGAGCAAGACGUCAAAGGGCUGGCCGGGCUUCAUGAGCGAGGCCUUGAUGAAGUCCGCGCCAUAGUCGAUUGCCAGAAUGGACCCAAGAACGCUUUCCGACCAUAAUGAGAGCCAUAGACAGAAAAACGGCCAGAGCCGGGUCAUGAUGAGGAAGGUGAGUGUGUGGGCGCUGUAUGCGUCCACUGAUACUUUUAUGUGUUACACGUCACCGUAGCCGCGCUACGUGGUCGCCGCCACGUGGAGGUUGAUCCCGAAGGGUCGGUGCUGUGCGAUGCUGUUCGGGACCAAGACACGUCGCAGGACCAAAAGAUCAAGCCAAGGCUAGACGAGGUCAGAGAGCGGACGUACGUACAGCACAAGGCAAGGACUUGCGGUGGGUGUGGGAGAGCCUCGAGGAUUGCCUCAAUGCUCGAUGUCCAGGUUCUUGACCCUAACCAUGAUUUGGGGUCUCGAGAUAGGUACAGUACUUAAACCCAAUCUACACCGAAUCUAUAGCACGCAAUCCAGAUACGCGUGAACCUUUUCCAUAUAGCUUGGAAGAACGUUAUGCAAAGUGAUGUAUCUAAAAUGUCGGGAACUUUCUAUUAAUCACAUUCAUCAUCAAACCGUCAGUUCAGGUUGAAGGACUUAUUGACGCAACAUUUGACCAAAUGUUUUCAACAGCUCAUAGGCAUUCCUGAGGGUAGCCGUUCCCUUCCCCACAGUGCGACAGUCAUGAAUACCCCGCCAUGGGUGUGCGACGCAAACCCCUACCUGCUGCUGUAUCUUCGAGUGAAGACACAGAUCUCGCUGCGUGGCGCCGCGAUGGCUCGGGACAAUGAUCGCGGACCCCUACCUCCUGCUGUAUCUUCGAGCGAAGACACAGAAUCUCACUGCGCCGCACCGCGAUGGCUCAGGAAAACGGCCGCGGACCCCUACCUCCUGCUGUAUCUUCGAGCGAAGCUACAACUCGGCCACGCGACUCAUAUGUGCGCGACGCGCACCCUACCUACUGCUGUAUCUUCGAGUAAAGAACAGCUUGUAAUUGCGCGCAGUGUAUUUUGAGCGAAGCUGCAUGUAUAAGCACUGUGUCAUUGAACAAUUCAUUAGUCUAUUGGAUCCGUCUCCGCUUUCUUCCUCCACCACUGGCAGGCGCUGUUCUCAUUCCGUCCUCCAUUGAAUGCAUGUCUGCUGCGCUCGUAGCACUCAGCGAGUGUUCUCCGAUUGUGGCCAGCCCCCGGGCCAGUGUUGGACGUCCUUCUCCACACUCCACGCUGUCCUCCGUCAAUUCAGCGUUGUUCAAGUUGUCUGCAUGGGCGACAACUGAUGCAGCAGCUGCUUUUGACUUGUUUGCGCGCGUUUCGUUUCGUUUUUUCUGUGCUUCCAUACGCUUCGCUGCCUGUGAGAGUCGCAGCUUCGCAGCCAGUUCAUGGUGUCGUUGGCGUCGGUCCUCAUAAAGACUGAUAGGCUUGAGAAAACCUAUGCGAAGAUGGCGGCGAAGCAGGUGGGCAUUGUGGAGGGCGUGAGAGUUGAUAAUGUAUCCGCGAUGUGCAAAAUUGUGUUGAAUGGUAACAAGGCGCUGGUUCGUCUCCUGAUGUUCCUCGAAUAUGGGUCGUGUAGCUUCUAGCGAGCACUUGGCAGCAUCGCAGUCGUGCUGUACAUUUAUUAUAAACAAGAUUGACUGUUUGGGAUCCCAAUCGGAAUAAGUAGCCUGAAUCCAAACCAUUAACCAGUGGGAACACAUACUGUUGACACUACAACCUCGUGACAAGACUUCCCAUCUUCCACAGGUACGAUCAUGGGCAUUCCCAAUGUCCGAUGACGUUUGGAAUGGAGGACAAACUUCUCGAAUGUGACAAGUGUGGUGGAAGGUCCGCCAGAGCUUACGAGAAUCUCGCAGAUACGUCCAAUGGCAUUACCACCCUGCGCCGGUAUGAUCAGGUUUCACCGCACAUGGUAAUAGAAUUUUCGUCAACAUACCUGGUGGUCUUGGGCCAUAAUCCAUGAACCAACACGACAAACAUCGAGAGAGUUUGUGGCAACUGUGGCUCCCAGAGUCCAUGUGGAACCGAGGGUGAAGGAGGUUACACAAGACUGGCCCGUAGCUCUGAACGCAAGCGUGUCUUCUGCAGGGACUGUCUUGCGCUUGUCUUGUGCAGGCAGUGUUGCGUCGCCCGGGGAUGGAUCUUUGCAUUGUGCUAUUAUACCUAAGUGCUGCUGGAGCAACACAGAGUUCCAGAAUGUCGAGAUGACAUUCUCCCCAGCGCGAAUCCAGGAACCAUCCUCUUCUUCCCAGUAUCCACCCGAGACAAUGUGCCGGAGACAUUCAAGGCCUGCCAUCUUGAGGGCAAUAUCACGACUCGGGGCUUGAUGGUUACUAUAAAUGGAACAAAGGCGGAAGACUGCAUUGAAACUUUCAAAGACUUCAGUAGAGUACCGAGGGGCUGGCCCAAAGCGAGGAACAUCUUCCACUAUGUGUGGCAAAACCUGAAGCUUCUGCUUGAUGAUGAUACGGUUGGGAUCUAUGUUGGCGAAUGCAUUGAGCAGGUUGCCGACAAGGACUGCCAAAUUGUCCUGUAACCAAGGUAAUCAGUUAGAUGUUAUUCGCAGAGUUGAUAGAGUAAGUAAACGGACGGUGUGAUCUUUCAUGUCAUCAAUGGUGGUGAUCCAGAGCAACGGUCCAAGCUCCCCAAGUGCACGGACGAGGGUCAGCUGGUCAGACGAAACGAGGCCAUAAAGUUUGAAAGCCAUUGUCUGCGACAAGCUCUUAAAAUGCUUCCCAAUAAGGUUUUGUCAAUAUUGAACCAUGUAACCAGCUCGGAGAGGGGGGAUAUUGAGCCCAUCAAUGUCUGUGUCUUGCAAGCGGAUGGCGAAGAUAUCCCGUUGCGAAUCUGUCCAAGAUGUGUGCAAGAUAUGCCAUACGUACUUAACAACUCUGAGCAACCAUGUGUGCAGAAGCUCGAUAGGGGUAUCAUGAUUUGGAUCAAGAUCUAACCAGAUUUUAAAAAUUAGAUCGCAGGCAAGGGUGGAGGGUGGGAGACGCACUCGGGACAUGAAGUAAAGGGCUCAUUGGACAGCUUGUCUGGGUCGACAGCCAUUCAAGGCACCAAGCAGAAAUGUCGGCCUCAGAGAGGCUCCAAUUUUCAGCCUUGAGUCGACGGGCCUCCGCGAGAAGCUUCUCAAUCCAGUACGAUGUGAUCUUGUCUUUGAUGCCAUUCUUAGUCUGAAGUUCCAAGACGUGCUUCUCAAUACCGGUUGAGGCGAGAAGAAGUUGCUGCUCGACAAUGUCACGGGUAUCCAUAACAGUGCGUCGUAUAUCCUGUAUACAAAUCUAUUAAUACACGUACAACAUCUGCAAGCUUGACUUACAGGGUUAGUAUAAUAUAGCAUGUCGUAGCCCUCGUUGGAUUCCCUUAUCUCCGCAGGGCCUCCCUUCUUACACUUGCGGCAUUUACAAUUUGCGUUUACACCAGCAUGGGACGCCUCCUCAGAGUGUUGCGGAUUAUCUGCAGGUAAGCACGGCACGAGCAAGCGAACACGACAGAAACGUUGUGUGGCAGCGUUGAACAUCCGGGUGGGAUUUAGCUUCGAUGCUCUGUCAUCACAGCGUUAGAAUGAAUCGAAUACCUCGAAAAAACGGAUACAUACUUCACCGCUUCAAGGAUAGGACUGAAGAGCUUGCAACUCCCAGCCGUCGGAGAGGUUGAAAUAAAUCGGACCGAUGAGUCUUGUCGCUGGAAGUGGCUUGGAAGGCUCCAGUUUUGCGCAUAAACAUUGAUGUGCUUCUGGUACUGCUUCGAACGUGCACCAGAUAUGUCGUCGCAGAACAGGGGAACAUAUACAGUGACAAGGUCUUCGCCCUGUGCAAUAUCUCGGUCAGGAUUCAGGCUGGUAUUGAUCACAGCCCCCGUUGAAUCUGUGAAUAAAUAUAAAUGAUAGGUUUGGAUGCUCGCUUAUGAGAAAUAUAUCCGGACCAACCUGUAAGCUGAGGUAUUGGCCCACUGGCCAUGAGAUUGAGCAUGUUGUCCCGGAAUUGAUCAGCGAUGAUCAGUUCCUCCGAAUUACGCUCAAGGUACAGUCACUGUGCAUCCUACAGAAUUACUGUUAGUUUAGACAGCAUGUGAGGAAACAAUUGGACGUACUCGGUACACAAUGUCACAGUAUGUGUGCACUCGCUGAAAGCGUGUAACCCAGACCCUUGGAAUGACAAGCCGGCCAUCUGAAAGUCUGCACAGUUCAUCCACAAAGAAAUGCUUCCCAUUACCAUAAAACAUUGGGGUAAGUUCAUUGCGUGGAAGAUCACACAGAUAAUUUGCUUGGUGAAAUUCAGAGAUGGGUCCUGGAGUGUCAUCCGGAUAGAUGCUAAUGUGCGCUGUGAUGUCUGGAUGCACAAAGUCCUGAGUUGAAGAACAUCAGUACAAGUUCAAAGAAAAAAUACAAGAGUAUAUAAACCCACUCGCCUUGCAAACCAGCUGCAUGAUUGAAUUGGUGUAGAAUACAUGACCAAAGUCAGAUGUGUGCUGGGUUGUUGCAAUGCUGCACCGUGCUCGCAGCCUCGUUUCCAGUUCACGACACGCUCGGAGUGAUGGAACGUCUCACGCAUGAGCUUCUUCCAGUAUCCACAAGAUCAUUCGAAGUAGACUGAUAGGAAUAUGAAAGCGGGGAAUGUUGAUUAAGCAUUGAAUAAGAAACAUCUGAAGCCGCAAGAAGCAUGCAACGAUGAGCAGUGCUCUCCACUUAGAUGCGCAGGGAGCGACUUGCCGUCUUGGACCCGUAAGGUGGGUAUUGCCGAUCUGGUGGGAUGCCAGCCAGAUACGCUUGCAAGUCUUCCGCAUCCCCCUCCCCAGUCCCUGUUCAUGACAGCACAGUCUUAGCAACAAUUCGAUCGUUAGGUUUCAAAAGAUACUUACACAACUCUGGGUCUGCUGCUGAGUCGAACUGGCCCUGGAAGGAAGUGGACGCGUCUGUCUCGUCCUCUGCUAUCCCCUCCCCAUGCAGUUCCUUUUCCAACGAUGCCAGCGAUAGCCUCUGGAACUCGGAAUGGAGCAGUUCCUCCAGCCGUUUUGAUUCGGAUUUGUGGUCCACUUCUCCUGGAAAGUAAGCCGCUUGUUCCUCCAUUGUAAAAUGAAAGUCGCCGGCUGAUACUCCAUUUACAUCCUCUGUUCAGUCGAUACUACCAGAAAAACUUGGUCCUGCAUAUCUUGUGGCGUCGGACGCGGAACGAGGGACUGCUGGAAGCGGGAUCGUCUCAGGCUGGCGGUAAGUUUGGAUGUGACGGGCAGCUGCUGCCUCAGAGCCGGAGGCCUCACGGGCUGCAACAGCAUCACAGUGAAUUUGUGUCCUAAGAUGGUUUGCCCAGUUUGAACGCAAGAUCCAUUUACUUUCAUUGCUUUCAGGGUCUGCACAAAGACGGCAGCAUACUUUGUUACUUGUCGGGUCCACGAGGCAAUCUAACCAAGUGCCGCGCUUUGGUGAGUUCCCAACUUUUCCUCUUUUCCAAUAGAUGCCAACUUACCUGAACCCAGGUCUUUCAGCGCAUGCCCUCGACGCCUUUUGUCCAUGUCCUGCGGGUAAAUCGGAGUUCAAGUUUGUCAAAGAGACUUACGACUUACUUACUUAUGCUUGUUUCAGGUGGGAUCCGCCUCGCAACCAUAGCCGAGCGGCAAAAUCAAUCUUAAACCCCCCACUGCACCAGAACGAUCCACUGUCACCUCCAUCCAUCGCACCACCACCAGGAGCGGCCUUCGCCCUUCCUUUGCCCCUCCCUUCCCUCUUUCUCGACAUCUUCUUCCAUCCCCUUUCUCCAUGGCGGAUAACACAGCGACCCCCAGUACAACCUCGUCUCCUCAUCUCACUCCGAUGCAACAACUGGCUGCCCGCUUGGAGCGGCAAUGGGAGACUUUGUCUAACAGCGACCACACUGACGACAUGCCGGGCUCUCCGAUCGCUGGUCCUCAGAAUCCCUUUUCGUCCACUGUCUCCCCCGUCGACGAGUCUGACAGAGGCCGGGUGUCGGAUCCAUCAUUGCCGACCAACAAUGCCGACAACUGGCUGUCCGGUACCGAGGCUCCCUCAAGCGUGAACUUGGCCUUUCUCGCUCCAGCUCUCAAGCGUUCAUGCAAGCUGGGUCCACAGGCGUGUACAGAAUUGGAUAUGUACCUUGCGGUACGUAUUGCAUCUUGCUGGUUUCUUAUCUUACUAACAGACAUCCAACAUCAGUCGUCGAGUCCCAUGGAGCGAGAGGGUCAUCAAUAUGCCCUCAGUCUUGCAUGUUACGACAAGUUGAUGUCCAUCGCUGGGCAUCUCGACUAUAGGGUCCCGGCCACAUUGAGUGUAUGCCAUGCCUUCAAUUUUACCUCGAUGCCAUUGUCCCAAGGUUCCUGACGUCGAACAUGCACAGGCUACGGUCAAAGAUUAUGCUUGGGCUUUUAUACUUUCACCUACCAUCACAUCUUAUCGCUACCCGAAGAUUCCAACCAUUAUUCUGGUACGUUUUUGCCUUCAAAUCCUCGCCGCUAUCAUGUUCGCAUUGAGAUCUUUUUUCCAGGAUGUCAUGCGAGAUCUAACCCUCGCAGAUGUCCCAGCGAAGCGUGAGACCGGGCGAUGCGCACAAGUUGAGAGGGUGAUCAGAACCCAGACCACCCAAUGCCGCCAUCUCAUCAAGGAUAAGGUAUGUAUUCGCAUCCAUCCAUAUCUAUGCUUGUGUUAUUAAGUAUCUCUUAAGGUCUGCAGUACAUUCAAGUCACGCCCAGAGAACCCGAUCGAUAUCGCAUCUUUGACAGCCGCGAUCACUUCGUCGACCAAGGUCAAGCCAACUGCCGCCCUCUAUUUACAGAUCGCUCUGAUUGUAAGUGCUCGCUCUCAUCGCAGUCAUGCAUUAAUAGCUCAUAUUUCCAUAGCGGUGGGUCGCAAAGACGUGGCCGGAGACACAUUGUCGCACCAACAAGGCCGACAAGAACUUUUGGCUCAAGGUUGAUGAACAGCUUCGUGAACAGAUCGAGGAGUUCAAGACGCCCUCCAGGAUCCAAGAGUACGUGGCUUCACGAGGUUUGUUAAUAUUGCGAGUUUGACCUGGUUCAUGCAGGGCGUGCCAAGCACUUUACGAGGCUGAUAAGUUAGAGUAUGGGCAACCGGAUCUCAUGUCCCACCCACUGAGUCUGGCGCACCUUCAAGACGAUUGGGUCAUGGCACUCAACGACAAGUCUACAACCCUUCCGCAGUCCACAAUGCAGGGCAAGAAGCGUGCCCACGACGAUUCUGAUGAUGAAUCGGAUUAGGUUCUCACCGCGUAUGUCUGCUCCUUUCUAAGUUGUCGUGCUCACAGAAUCCUGACAUCUCCGGCGCACAGCGAGUCUGCGCACGGUUGGUCAUCUCCUGCGAGAUUGCCAUGCAUUGCGUCUGGAUGAAUACCUGCAGUCAUCAUUCCGAGUCAUUUCUUGAGUCCUGCCAUCCACGAUAGUGUAUUCAUCAUUUUAUUAGCACUAUAUUUCGAUUAUCAAUGUGUAUACAAUCUACUGUUCCUGAAUGCCAUACAAUUGCGCCAGAACCCCUUGAACAGUCUGACCAUGACAUUGCUGCCCACCGUGUAUCCUCCCCUGAGUGCGCCUCCUCCCAAGACCACCCAAUAUGCGGACUUCAAGCUUUGUGAAUAGCUUACUCCAAGGUCGCUCUUCAGCGAUGGGAUUGACUCAUUCACAAUGUCCUAUCCAUGCUGAGUCCCUGCUCAGCGAAUACGUAUUCAGGACCUCCCAAUAUGACUCUCAGAAAGCUUGGUAUAACAUAUGGGCACAUCUUACCAGCCUGUUUCCGAUCCAACAUGUCCCGGAGAUCGGAUUCCGAUGUUUCGGCGUUGUUAUGGCCCGCAUGUUAGAAAAAGGUUUGACCGUUGGCCAAUGAUCAUGUAAUUGCGUUCUUGCACCUUGGCCUGACAUCAGACGACCAUCAAAUUAACAACCGCUCUUGGUUCAUCCCAAGGUUUCCGAUCUAACCUUAGUGUAAGGUCUCCCGGGGUUGGCGGUGUACACAACAUUCGUGACGGCAUAAUUGAACCACGACGGUUCGAAGCGUAUAAAGGACAAAACCGCUCAUUCACCAACGGUACCCGCGACAACGCUACCAUGGACACCCCAAUUUACCCCCAUGCCGAACAUGAUCCACCCAAUGAAGAUGACCCCGAGCGCAACCGCCGAGUACACCCAGUUGAUCCAGCCGGUGACCGAAGGGGACUUGAGGAUCUUCUCCUUCGCCUUCGUCUCGCUCACGCCGUCUUCCGAGGGGUCAGUCUUCGGCACGACAAUUCCCUUUGCCUGUGCGAGCUUGUCGACCGCCGCUGGCAAGUCGCGCGGGGCCACCUGGGAGAGACGCGCAGCGGGGAGGAGGUUCGGUGCCGCGUACGCCAUGAUGAGCAUGAAGCCGGAGACGGCGACGGAGAGGAAGGCAUAGGCGAGCCAGAGCGAGACCGCCGGAUCGAGCGAGUCCGUUGCGGAGAGGUCUUGGAGGCGGCCGGCAGCGGUCGUAAUAAUAACGAUUGAGGCCUGUACAACAGAUUCUGGGGGCAAAUAUCAGCAUGUUGAAAGACUGAUAACGCAAGCUAAUCGUACUCUUAAUUGCGAAACUGUUGAAAAGACCGAAUGUCAGUUCAGUCUAAAAAGUCGUCAAAAGUCGAAGCAUACCCAGUAGCAAAGUACUGAGGGUCCGGAAUGAUGUUGCGGACGAUCUCUACCUGUGGCGCAGGCGUGACGGCUUGAGACAAGGCGUAGAAAACGUAGGCCGCAACUAUACCGGACAGGGACAAUCAAGACAAAACUGACAACAAAAAUCAACGGUGGCACGCACUGAAGGUUGGGACCGAGUGGGAGAACUUGAGGAGCAACAUGGAGAUCAGGAAAGUCAGACCGGACAGGAACACUGUAAACGCCAGUUAGCCACAGCAUAAUCACGAAGAACGUCCAUUUACGGAAGGCAAUGCGCUGCCCAAAGACGUCGAUGUAGAUGCCCAGGAACGGCGUCAACCCGGCAGGCAGGAGCAAGUAAAAGCUCGACACCCAUCCGCCAAUGACAGCCCCCUUCUUGAGCCGCUGCUGCGCGAAUUGCCUACAAAGCACGCACCCAAAUCCCCAUUUGUCAGCCCGUCCCCUCGCCACUCAGACCUGUGUAGGUGUACUCACGUAGAGAUGGACACGAACGACUGCACGCCCGCAUUCUCGAAUAUCGCAAACAGCACGACAAGCCAGAACGAGAACGGCAUGUGCCUGAUCGCGCGUAUAUCGAACUUGCCGCCGCGCGCGGCGCCGGGGCCCGUGUGCCUGCGGCCGCUCGUCUGGUCCGUGACGUCGUAGCGCGCGCGGAGGUAGCGAUCGAGGAAGAAGACGGUGAUCGCGCACACGAGCGAGAACGCGGAGAUGGCGGACGAGAUCCAGAGCGCGAACGCGUACGAGCCGAGAUUCUGCGUGAUGAUGUUCGCCGUCGACUGCCCCGUGAACUGGGCCAGAUUCGCGACGGACCAGAUCGUGCCUAUGGCCGUGAACGGGCAGAGAGAGAGGAUCAACUCGGGUUAGUCAAAGGCGCCGCUUGAUACAGAGGAAUGAGGGAGGGAGAGGAUGGGGACGGACCGAUGGAGAACGCAAAGCCCUUCCCGGGGGCGAAGUACGUCGAGAAGAUCCGGUGCUGGGCAUUGUCGAGCGACCCAUCGCCAAUAGCGGCGAUAACCUUUCCGAGGAUGAGGAGUGGGUAGCUGUUGAGGUUGUUCGUCGCCGCGCCGGACAUGACCACCGCACCCGAAAGAUGGAAGAAGGCGAGGAUGAUGGACAUGAGCGCACCACCGAACUUGUCGAUGUAGAAGCCGAGCCCGAUGCAGAGGAACGUGUUCACCAGGUUCGUCACGGCGACCUGGACGGUGUGGCGUUUGGCAUUGCACAUUUUCUCGGAGAACGGAGGGCAAUUAGCUCACCAAGGUGGCGAACUGGGAGUUGUUGAUCUUCGUUUCCUUAAUAAUUGUCGUCUUGAGAGAACUAGCGGGAAAAGGGUAAGAAUGUCAUGCUCGACCACCUCGAACUCCAUAGGGUGAACUGACACGAUGAGACCCUGUGGAAAACCGAAUCAGCAGAUCAUUAAGCUGAGCAACAUGAAGCCCACGUACGUUUGACCAAUGGUUCCCGACUGAAACCAAUAACCAUGAGUUCACCCAACCACACUAAAAUCAAAAAAAAAAUACCCACAGGUGCACAGACACGUCAGGAUGAUUAUGGCGAGUUGCCAUCCGUACGGUAGCUUCGGCCUAGGCGCAAGGGCUGGGGUAGAGUAUCCCAACACCGGAGAUCGCUCGUCCUGGCUUGAACCACCCUUCAUCUCGAUUGACGCCUGGUCCUUCUCGUCCAUGACGGGAGAAUCCAUGCCCGAGCUGACGGGAUCCUUUGGCGACAUGGAUUAAUCCGCUUGAGGUGAACUGAGCGCAGUGAACUGUAAGUGACAGGAAAAUACGCCAAGAGGGACGGCGUGCCCGAAGUGGGGGAAGGAGGUAGUUCGAGUGAGAGUUGCCCCAGUGCCGCUCAUCUUAUCAGAUAAUGGGGGCAGGGGGUGGGUGUGAGACAGCUGGAAUGGGGUCGGCGGGCGGACCGUGAGUGUAGGGAACGAUUGAAAGGGAGGGUGAGAGACUUGAUGACGCGUACGGCUUCCCCAUGUGAAUGCGUGAGAGUGGGUUCGACGGGCGGCACGCCAAUAGACUGGCGAUGCACUCUGAUUUGCGCCAAAGUUUGGAGUGAGGAAGCUUGCGGGAGUUCUGGCAGGGGAGGGGAAGACUUUGUAACGCUUCGACGUUCUCUGUGCCUUGGGAGCUCACGGAAAUGACGGAUCAUACCCUGCGAAUUAUCUUAUCAGAUAGCUUGUGAUCAUAUCCCGUGUCCUUUUGCGGCUCUCCGUCGAAGACUAUUCCUGCGUUCUGCGGAGCCGCAAGAGGAGGUCAAAGGCUGGAUGUGAAUCUUGGAAACACACCGCGAAACUCACCUGUGUUAGCCGGAGCAGAAUCACUGAAUAGUGCGAACGAUCCUCGUGAAUGUCGAACGAUACUUGCAUGCCGACUCGGCCGACUCGUCACCCACUGGGACGAAGACUGCGGAGGAUGACUAAACGCGACUUGUUAAAGCGAGGGAGGCUGAUAUAUGGCGGACUGCAUGGACGUACAUUGACAACCUAAACCUCAUCCUUAUGAGGCCUUCGUACCUGAGAUUAGACAGCGCAAGAUGAAGAGGAUGGAGAGCUUGCCGUUCACGCAAUUCACGUCCUGCCGAGAUGUGCUUGGCACACGGCGGACUAAAUACAUGCGCGCGCAUUAAUAGAAACGGAGAUGCAGCGAAGCCGGUGGAUGGCUCAACAAACCGGAAUCCAAUAGCACGCGCUUGCUUCCUUUGAGACUGUUGCACUCGGAGUUAGAGCGGCGAUCGGCUACUUGCUUGAAACAUCAGAAGUCAUUAGCCAUAGACUUUUGACUCAAGAGGUCAAACCUUGCACACCAUGCUCAGUGUUUUGGAUACAUGCUCUCGCAUCUGCAUACACGGUUAGAUAACUCUGGGCUACCUGGAUACACCAUGCUGCUGUGCUAACUCACGGGUUUCUCUGCAGCUGACAUGCAUAACACGGGGUAGCCGACCAGCCCUAAUCCAACAUCGACAUUGGGGAAGCGAUAGGAGGGAUCCUCGAGGUACAGUAUAAAGAUCUAGAGUAUGGAGGAUGCGCCCACGAAGAAGCCGGCAGGUCUUGGAUAUCAGAAUUGCGUCACCGUGCCUGGCAAGGAUGGCUGCGGCAUCCGGAGGCGGGCCGUACGGCCUGUCUCGUAGCAAGUACUCACACCAGUACCUAUCUUGAUCUGUACCCCUCCAUUGCAUGAAAGACUGGGAUGCGAGACAGAUGACACGACACGUACAGUGGCACGAAAUACGUCGUCGCGACAAGUUUCGAGUUUUCCGUCCAAAAACUUGCAGCUGAAGUUUCUUAUCGUAAUGGGGUAGAGCUGAUCAUGGCUUCGGAUCACACAGUAUUACAAGAGGAAGCCUCUGGGAAGUUCAGUCUCAGCUGUUGCGCGGACGUUAGUAAAAAGGUGAGAGGACCUGCGUGUAUUACUCACUGGCAAACGAGGUUAGAUACAUUUUCGGCCGUGCAAGGAUCGAGACAGAAGAUGAGGUUAUCCUGACGUUGGAUAUGGAUGUACAGAUAAAGGCUGAGGUGCGUUCUUGGUAUUGAUCUGGGACAAGUUCUGAGGAUACUUGAUGAAUUCAUGGCUGCGAGAGAGAUUGCAAUGGGGACACAGUUGUCAAUGGAGGUCACUGAGGGCGGUCGCAACAUGAGUUGGGUGAUGGUGUGCCGGGUACACACUGAGGUGCGCACGGCUCUGGACCGGAUUGUACGGGACCCCUGGGCCUGUGACGUCGUUAUCGGUGACAGCGUCGCGACGCACGUGCGAUGUGAUUGGACGCGACUGGGACCUCGAUCAAAGCUGCGAUCGCGACGCGUUCGCCACAUUUUCUGUCUCUCCUCUCCAGCGAGCCGUGUCCUUCUCCUUCUCCUUCUCCUUCUCCGCAGACAUGCAUGACCAGCCCAAUCAGACCACCGCCGCCGCCAGUCCUGUCUUCAGUCUCCUCCACAUUCUAUGAGACCGGAGGGAGUCCGACUCAGGAGCGGACAUCGGCCGGAGGGAUGACGGACGGCAAAAUGGUCCUUCAGGAUUACACUUGAUUUUGUGGCCGGCGCCUGCAGGCGGACAUGAGCAGAUCUUGGCACACGACUGGAAUAUCCCCUGAUCCACCUCCAUCUGCGGGCCUCCAGCCCGCGCAUUAUCUGCCCCCGUCUCCCGUCCUCCCCUCUUGCCUUCCGACCACCACCAUGUCCUACUCGCUGUCCAAGAAGGAUCCCACCGCCGAGACCCGCUCCGUCGCGAGCGGCAGCGACAACUCCGCCGACGAUGACAACAAGCUCCUCGAGAUUGGCUACGUCCCCUCCUUCAAGCGCGAAUUCUCCAACAUCGCGACAGUCCGUACCUCCCUCCCCCGCCUGUCUCGCAUCAUGUUUGACAUCCAUCCAGAUCAGCUUCGCAUUCAGUAUCAUGGGUCUCUGUUCAAGCAUUGCGACUACCUUCAACACUCCUCUCUUACUCGGUGGUCCCGCCUCGGUGACCUGGUGCUGGAUUCUGGGGGCGACGAUGUGCUUCACCCUUGGUGCGUAUCGCUUUCCCAUGCGUUAUCACCCCGCUGUCAGUCGCUCCCCCGCGCCUCCGAAUGACGCCAGUCCUCCACCCCUCUCCCGAACGUAAUCGGAGGUCACAAGCGUAUCUUGAACCUUGGUCCUGCGCACGUUUGGACUUUCAGAUUCCUAUUCAAGCUUCCAGGGCUUGAGCUGCCAACCGCGGGUGUCACUCCAGCGCUCGCCCAAAGAGCUCUCCGACACAGCGGGGACCGGGUUAUAUCUGUGAUGCACGCCACAUGUGCAUACGGAUGCAGUACACAAUAGAAUGCUCAUGCUCAACCGACCCCCAGGUGCCUCUAUCGCUGAGAUUGUCAGCGCUUUCCCCACCUGCGGUGGCUUGUGAGUGUCGUCAUCUCCAGACAUGUGCCCCCGAACGUCUGAUAACGCUCCUCAUCAAACUCCAGGUACACUGCUUCCGCGCAGCUCGUGCCCCGUAAACAGCGCGCUAUCGUUGGAUGGGUAGUCGGCUGGCUGAACAUCCUUGGACAGAUCGUCGGCUUGUCCUCGACCGAGUUCGGGCUCGCGAACAUGAUCUGGGCCGCAGUCGUCGUUGGUCGAGGGGAGAGCUACCAGAUCACGGCCGGCAAGAGUGUCGGGCUGUUUGCAGGGCUACUGGUCCUCCACGGCAUUUUGGUCAGUCUUCAGUCCCGUCCACUCUUUGAGAUGAAUGAACCUUGCGCCAUAGAACUGUCUCGCGACGCGCCAACUUGCGCGUCUUACUACUGGCUUCGUUUUCGUUAACCUCGGUGCGACAAUCAGUACGUGUUCCUUUGCCGUGAUCGUGGUCUAGAAACCUGCUUUGAUGCUCACCUUCGUAGUAAUCAUUAUCGUCCUCCUUGCAAAGACUCCACGAAGCGAGAUGCAAAGUGCCUCCUAUGUCUUUGGCAGCCAGGGCUUCAUCAACCAGACCGGCGGAUGGAACAACGGAAUCGCGUUCCUCUUUGGGCUUCUCAGUGUUCAAUGGACUGUGCGUGCUCACUCGUUUCGUUUAUCUGUUGUUGCGGAAAGCUAUCUAAGGGGACAUGCGCUAACAUCGCUUAUUCUGUAGAUGACCGUAAGUGACUGGUUACUCGAACACAUGUGCGCCCGACGUGCUUAGUGAAGUCAAUGUGUCAACCCUAUUCUAGGACUAUGAUGCAACGGCACAUAUUUCGUAAGUCAAAAACUCUCGGUUUUCACACUCUAGAAUGAGGAAACUUAUCGCCGCAUUUUUAGGGAGGAAGUGAAGCGCGCUGCGUAUGCAGGUCAGUGUCAAUUUAGGUUUCGACUCAGACCCCAGCUGAUUAUGGACCGCCUGGUCGCAGCUCCCUCGGCCAUCUUCAUCGCCGUCAUCGGCACAGGUCUCCUCGGAUGGCUGCUCAACAUCGUCCUCAUUCUCUGCUCCGGCCCCUUGUACGUAACCUCAUCCACAAUACGGCAUCCUGCCCGAAGGAGCACCCACUGAAGCACAAUGUCAAAUCCGUUACAGUGAGAACCUUCCCGGCCCAUCGGGCUCAGCGUUCCUCGAAGUAAGUCUUCUAACCCAACUCUAACGCGUCUCGGCCCUGAUCUCAUCACCACGUCACCUCCGCUCUUCCCCUGUCUGUGUGCGCAAACUUUAGAUCAUGGUCCUCCGCAUGGGCAAGCCCGGCGCGCUAUUCAUCUGGGCGUUCGUCUGCCUCACAGCGUUCUUCGUCUGCCAGACCGCUCUCCAGGCGGCGUCGCGCACCGUGUAUGCGUUCUCGCGUGACAAGGGCCUGCCCGACCGCGGCUUCUUCGGGCACAUCUCCUCGUGGACGCAGACGCCGCUGCGUGCGAUCUGGUUCGUGACCGUGAUCGGGAUCCUGCCCGGCUUGCUCGACCUUGCGAGCCCGGUCGCGCUCAACGCGAUCUUCGCGAUGACGGCCAUGGCGCUCGAUUUGUCGUACAUCAUCCCCAUCUUCUGGUGCGGUCCCGCUUUCCCAUAUCGCUGUCAGUGCAAAGUGUGUUAGGAGAUGCUGACCGCCAACCCAUGCAGCCGCCGGUGGUACAGAAACCACCCUGAAGUGAAGUUCACGCCAGGGCCGUUCUACAUGGGUGAUGGCAUUGUCGGCUGGUUCGCAAACGUGAACUGCAUCCUGUGGACGUGCUUCGUGUGCAUCAUCUUUGCCCUACCCACUGUGUUCCCCGUCAACGCGACAACAAUGAACUACGCCGCUGUACGUCUGCCAACUAUCAGUCUUUGCAAGCUUGACCACUAAUGUUGUACUUGCGCUCCAGCCUAUCACUGGUGGUGUCAUCCUCCUCUCACUGUAAGUCCUUCUUUACUCGACGCAAUGACUGCUAACCAACCGCUGGACACCUCUCGGGUGCGCAGUGUGUGGUACGUGCUCGGCGGCCGUAGACACUACAAGGGCCCCCAGUCCAACCGCACAGACGCCAAAGCCGCCGACGCCGACGUCCUCACCGAGUCCAUCGAUAACGAGAAGGCAACGGUGCACCAGGUCGUCUGAGUUCGCCGUCCGGCCGGCUUCAACAGCCCGCCCCGACCCAUCCCCGUGCGCCCGGUCGCCCGUGCCCAUCGCCAGAAUACCCGCUGCACCACCCAUACCCCGCAUACCACACGGUAUUGGGGCCGCUCCUCUCAUCAGGAGCCCGCGACUGCGCGGCGCGCGCACACACCACACUGGGCUCCCUCGCGGCCUGGUACUAAUAGUGGGGACGUAGGCGGCGGGGACCUGCGCCUGCGACCCGCCAAAAGUACACGGACGUAGAUGCAAUGAUAGAUCAUUUGCCGGAGAUGACGAUAUGACGACUAGAUGAUGUGUAGCCCUAGCUGGUUUAAUGCUUGGUGGUCCGAGGUGUAAUCGUAUGAUACCCAGCGCGGAGCUCAAGUUGUACCUGGUCCUUUUGGAAUACGGUGCGUUCCCGUCGUGGUUUUCUCUGAGUCAGAGGUGGUUGCUUCGAGUUUGAGGUCGACGAGAUGGAGAGACGGCGGGGUUCCGUGCGAACCUGAUCUGUGAGCGCCCCGUGGGAAAGCUUUCGACUUUGCGAGACCAUAAGUCUUGGGCUCUCAGACUCGGGAUCUGCCAAAUGUUUCCUCUUCCUACUUCUGCCCGGUGCUCGCCUACGUAGGUCUUGUACAACCAGAGAUUGGGAUGGCAUGUGUAACUGUCAUCGCCAUACAGGCUCUUCCGACUUCUUGGACUAUCAUCACCCUGGGCUAAGUAGGCCUUGUCUUCCGGAAGCACAUACUCUUACUCUGGCGCGGACGCCCAGCAGCUUCUUCUUGGGCACGGGGUGGCCCUAAUGGAAGGACUUCGUACAUCAGCUACGGAUUGUUUGCGGCAUGCUCCGGGAGCCCUCAAAGGGGCUGCAUAUAAACCGGCCGAUGGCAGUACUGCUCCAAUCUUUCCCCGACCCCCCCCCGUUCCAUAUGGAGCUCGAAACGACUAAGUUCACCUUACCUGGCGUAAACGACCACCCCAAACUCUCCUGCUCUUUCGUGCGCUGGAGGCUGCCUCAGGCAGCGAGCAGCGAGGCGUCUUCAGAACGACUGCAACUAUCGCUCGUGUUCUUCCACUGUAACGGGACUCGUAAGUACUCUCGGCUCGUUCUGAACGUUCAAGCGAGCUCAGAAUCCUUCUUUUAGACAAGGAGACAUGGCUUCCCGCUGUCGAGCAUCUAUUCACGGCCUUGCACACAUCGCCCGACCCUAGAUUCACCGUGAUCGAGGCGUGGGCAUUCGACUCGCCACAGCAUGGCGAAGCUGCACGGCUCAACGACCGCGUAUUGCUCGAGCUUCCGGAUGGGCUGGGUAAGUAUUUCCACCACAAGGUCUCUUGGCGCGGAUGUGCUGACCUUCUCGAGAGACAUGGACCAGUGGAACACUCCUAUCAACACCUUGUUCCAUUCCGGCUUGAUCGCGGGCAAUCGAAUUGUGGGUAUCGGUCACUCUGCGGGUUCGGUCUCCUUGUGAGUGUCGCCGGCCUUUUCAUCAACUGUAUGCGCUCCUCACCAACACCUUCUUCCUAGGAUCACGGUUACCUUGGGGCAUGCACUAGACCGCAUCCCGUUCUCCUCCAUGAUCCUGGUCGAGCCGCCGAUGAUGGGUCCGAAAGUGCUACGGCAAGCGCAGGAGAAGCGCCUGCCGAUGUUGCGCGCGAUAGAGCUCGCGAAGACGCGCCAGGACAUUUGGUCCUCUCGGGAGGAGGCACGGGAGUGGUUUGGGAGACAGUAUCCAUGGCGCCGCUGGGACAAGCGGGUCUUCGACCUCUUCAUCGUGCGUAUAUAGCCCACUCUGAACAACAGCUUUACUAACUAUAUCACGAUAGGAACAUGCAUUACAUGACCUCCCCACUGCGACGUAUCCGAACCAACACGAAGGAGUCACCCUCGCCUGCACGCGCACACAGGACUCGGCGGCGUACACCAAGUUCGCGCUCGGCUUCGCCGCGCUGGACAGGCUGAAGGACCUCUGCGCGUCGCUGCCCGUCCAUUGCAUAUUCGGAGACACACUGGACAUGGUGUAAGUAGGCACUUCAACUCCUGCCACCGUCGCAAAAGACUCAUAAUUUUGAUUUUCGACAGGCCUGCAGGGGUACACGAGGUCACCGUCGACGAGAAGGAAGGUCGGCGCAUGAAGUCCGUCCAGACUGUUUCUGGGGCUGGCCAUCUUACCGUUCAGGAUAAUCCGCGAGGCGUCGCGCUGGCGAUACGGGAGAUCUUGGUGGGAGAUUACGGAGGCAACGCGACCGCUACUCCCUGUAGACUCUGAUGUGCCUCUUGCGCCCAUAAGAGGAUGUAUUGGACCACGGUUUUCAACACGUCCUCACGGGGUCCGUCGUUGAGGGAUGGACAUGCUAGUCCAUGAAUGGCGGAUUAGAGCCGGAAGGUGGAUGUUGAGGCUUUGACAGGGCCUUGAAAAUCAAGAGACGGCUCGAAGGCCUGCCAAGAUCCUUGGGAUCGCGAGCACAAAUAAACUUCCACAUGGCCGCACCUGAGGCGGCCGCCAUAUGGCUCCCCAAGCUCGAUCCGGCAUCUGCAGUCCACGCAUGAAUUAUCUACUAUUAGUCCGUUCCUAAGCCUAAACCUAAACAUAUACCCGGGGACCGCUCAGCCAAUGUAAGAGAUGGAGACCGAGUCGGACGCGGUCGAGACGGAGGUGAGGAGCGUGUUGUCCUGUACGAUGUCGAUGAGCUCCGCGCCAGAUGGACCCACAGUCGAGCCGCCGACGGUGCCCGCGGUCGCCCCAGUGAACGUGACGCUCCCAAAGUCCGCGAAUGGCACGAGCCCGUCGUCCGAACUGAAAUCCUCUACAAUCCACUCUGCGUCAUACCAGCACAGCGCCGUCUGGUCCGAGAAUGUGUACGAGACCGUCUGGCCCGUCGAUUCGUUCGUGACCUCCGCCGUGCCGCCCGUCGUAGAUGACGCGUUGACGGUGACGGUGACCGAGUCGCCUGCGGAGAAGCUGAUGCCCGAGAAGUCGUACGCGUAGUCAGGGUACCACUCGAACCACGCUAGAAUAUCGCAUAUCCGAGGUGGGCGAUUAGCAGGGAAGAGCAAGAUCGUGGUAAUGACGGGGCUCACCAUCGUAGCUGACGCUACCGCUGCUGUCAACGUUGAAGUCAAGUCCAGUUUGGAGUAUGGCGGUGCGGCAGGUGUCGCCAUCUAUGCCAACCCAGGCGGAGGCGUAAUGUGCGCCGGAGCCGCCGGAGGGCACUUCCGGAGUGGGGACGACGAAGGCGCCCGUCACGGACUUGUAGGUCGCCUAAGGAGGUGCAAGCAACGGUAAAUUGGCCGGGCAUAUAACGCCGAGGUAUUUCCGAAGGCAUACCGUGCUCUCGGAUAACACGGCUCCGGACCAGUUCUCGCUGUAGAUGAGGUGCGAGGUGUUGCUGCUGAUGACCUUGCUCUGUGUGACGGGGCCGGCAGAUACGAGCGUCUUCGGCUGCGACUGGUGGGUGAGGCCCCCGGCGCGACGCGCAAUACGCUGAGUGAAGCGCUCCCUGGAGGUGGGGAUAGCGAAGGCUGCGGUGGCGAGGAGCACCUGACAAAAGAGUGUGGCGGCGAACAUGUCGGAAAGAAAAGGAGAGCAGUGAUGGAGGAAUCAAAAGGGCUCAGAACUGGACGGAUCCCGAGAUGAGGAAGGGUGGCCUUUGCUUCGAACCCUUUAUAUGCCUUUCAUGACUUGAGUUCAACAGUGCCGUGAUUCGAUGGCCCGAUGAACGCACCGCGACGGGGCUAGUCGACCCACUGUGGACAGAAGGGAUGCGGUACCCGAUGCUUCUUCAUCACUGAGAGGAACUGCGAGAACAGCACUGUGCUUUGGCGGGCUAUUGAAGGUAGUACGGAGGUCGGAGGAUGGAGCGAGGGUGUGAAAAGCCAAGCCCAUGGCCGGAUCGCGACUUGGCGACGUCCUAGUGGGGGGACCGGAGAGUUUCUCCGGCUCGAAGGGUUAUUGGAUACAAAAAUAAACCCGGGGCCCGCAUGCUGUAAGUGCUCUUGAGUGCUGUAUCGAAGUCGAGUACGAUCAGACGCACCAUCCCAAGCACAACCUAGAAUCGAGAAGAAAAUGCUUCGAGGGGCUCGAGACAUACCAUGGUUGCUACUGAGGUAUGACCCGCAGUUCCGCAGCAUUGCAUGCCGGUAAAUUGGUGAUUUUGCCGUUUGACCUUUGAUGGUGUCCUCGGAAUGCCGUUCGCAAUACAAAUUUGAGAUCUAUGAAGUCAAACUGGCAGGCCAAUUGUACAUAGCCGGGGGCGACGGUGAUAAUAGUUCUAAAAUGCGCACUGGAUGGACUCAGACUUGCAGAUCCAAAUAUUGUUCAGCUUACAGAAGGUGAUUUGUAAGACGAUUGACUAAAGGGUGGGAGGUUCCGUGAGGGUGAAGCUUGUAGAUAGAACAAGCAUGGAAUAGGGCCAGUUGGUUCGUACUAUCAACGCUCAUCAGUCAUCUUGAGCGCACCUUGGCCGUCUGAUCCUGAAUGGAAGCUGUUCAUUCUGCUGCGGGAUUUAUCGGGUGGACCGGACGAUGACCCGUUGAGCAUCUAAUUCUAAGGUGACAAGGACAAAACGGGUGACAUGGUGAGUGUCUGACGAGUGUGGGCUGCGAAUUCAUGGCAGUGGCUGAAUCCGAAUGCCAGCGCAUCACUCAGCCCACUGGCGCCCGAUAGCCCAUCUUGCAUCCCAAAACGGAAUCAUAAGCGCCAUUAUGGGACGCCUGAAACUGGACGCCAACAACUCGUCGACAGCCGAGUCUGGCUUUCUCCUCCGAUUCCAUACCUCAACUUACCUUGGUUACGGUACUAUCUUGAACAAAACGUUGCGCAGAAAUGUGUUUCUUGCCAGAGACCGGUACCAGCUUUGGGCCAAUCUCCGAAUCCUGCAGGCAGCUGGCGUUCAUUCUGUCCGGACAAACCUGCGCUCAUCGACCGAACGACAUUCGAACAACAAGUUCAUAUCGCUUCUCGGCCAGCCCUAUAUGUGACAGAAUGCCCUCAGUCCAAUAUCUGCGCCCGACGUGGAGUCAUGACACAGCCAAAACCCGUCACCUCCGAGCUCGGCGAAACAUUCGACAGGCUUACUCCUUGUUACUGACAGCUCCAGGGCUCUGUUUUGAUUCUGGAAACCAUCCAGUACGAACAACAUAACAAGAUGACAAGGGCCGUCUGGGCUGACGCAACCGGUGGAAGCCCUGGUGGCGCAGAGCGCCGACUCGGAGGUCAGCCUCUCGCCCCGUUCCAACCUCCAGCCCUGAAGUUCGCCUCAUGCUUUUAUGGGUAUAAAAGCCCUUACUUUCGCCAUCAAGUCCUCUCAUCCCAAUGCCCGUCUCCUUCGCCGCCAACGCCAACCCCCUCGCAAAGCCGACUGUAUGUCUACCACCAUUCUGCUCCUCGCGCCUCUCAUUAUAUCUGCUAACGGCGACCGUGGUCAGACUCAUCUCGCCGGUACCCCCGACAAUCCGUUCCUUGGAAUUCCGACGACUCACUAGGAUUUUCUCACCACUAACAACUUGGAUACUCAUGCACUUACCAUAGGACGAGAAGGCGAACAUCAGGUAAUUUCACCGGCGACUUGGUACGUUACCAGUUUGCCGCCUUGCCUAUUAGUAGCUAACACCACCUUGUUGCUCACAGGCUUCAGAUUCCUCAAGUGAUAUAUUCCGGCCUUAUCCUCUCGUCGACCGGAUCCUGGGCCUAGGGUGUGUAAUUUGUCGCGCGAGAUCGGAUCGAUGUGUGCCUCAAGAUUUCGAGCCCGGCCGUUGUGAGAAGCGCAUGAUAAGUCCGAGAUUUCUGGGAACGGCAACCUCAACGAAAACAUUCUGAAUAUCCGACAGCGUGCAAGGAUAGGGCCCUGGAUGAUUAAUGUGAGCUCCAUGCCUGCUUUGUCUCCUUGCCUUCGCUCACUACGACGCUCCCUCCAGACUCAACGGACCCGGGAACAUUGUACGUCAACACUUGACCGUCAGGACGAACACUAAGGGGCCGACCGUUACUGAGAGAAAUGGACUCGGAUAUGUAGUGUAUGUAGUGUGUGAUCGUGUCCGACACCGGCUCGAGGGUUUCAAGACGCACGAAGGUGCAGGUCCUCGUCUCAAACGCCGGCCCCGAGGUACGGUCGGCCGUCGCCACGCAUGCGUACGCGUGUGUGGCGAGGUCGUUCCUAGCGCAGGCCUCUUCGUGGCCCUCGGGACUAGUACCCACUAUGUGGGGAAGCUAACAUGCGCCGAAAUAGUUGCUAUGAGUGCUUUCGUCCGCGGAGAGCAUGUUUGCCUGCUGUCGUUACACCGUUGUGCGUACAUACCGAGCAUAGUUGUCAAUACUGCAUUAAUGCCGAAAGCGAAGGCCUUUCUACCAUCGUUCAUACUCUUGGUGUACCAUGUACCGCCCCGUGUCUCUGGGGCUCCGGGCAGGAGAACAAUAUAGUGUUACUGUCCCGGAUAAAUAUGGAUCGGCGUAUGAAUUCGUGCCCGCCGACCAAGGCGAUAGCUUCGACGGUAAAGUCAGUUCAGCUUGACAUCGAUGAUCGCCACUGGUCCGAAUACAGGAGUAAAUCGCAUCUUACUCGGUCUCAGCUUCCUCGUGAACCUUUGCUCACUGGUGUCGGCCGCGUUGCCGUUUGUCGCCCACCAGAAUUCUCCCUUCACGCCCCCGUCGUUCACUCUCCAAUACGGCGGAGGAUUGUCACCCUCCUUCGCUCACAAAAGACCCGAAGAGAAAAGCGGAUCUGAGUUUCCACUGAGCAAUAGUAGCCCGUGCUUGCCUGAGAAUAUUCCAAGCAGGCUUGCCGCAGACACGAGCAAGCAUCCAGGAAUCAGACCGUGACCGGGGCCAAUCCGCGCCCUGUACGAGGCAAGUUUUGAUCGCCGCUGAGGUGGCACCAAGGCUAUUACAAGUGUUAUUCGCCGAGCGGUGUUGUAGAGCGCAGGUUGGAGAUGGCAGGGUGCGAUCACGACCGUCAGCCAGCUCUCCAUAGCAAUCAAUCGCUGAGACAGACGAACAACAGAAUCACGCGCCUUCUCAACCCGAGUACAGGCUGACCUCUUGUCCGAUCUCCAGGGCUGACUCCAACUUCAACAUGCCGACACGUGCCGAGAAUGCUCGCCUCCGGAGUAUAAAAGCCCGUCGCAUCGCCCGUUCUCUCCCUCCCCAGAACUCCCAUGUUCGCUUCUUCCCCUCCUCGUCCUCCUAGGUGCGCCGCCGACUCCCAUUGGUGUAUGCUAUGUGGGUCGCUGGUCGUACGCUCUCGAGCGAGGGGUCGAACGUCGAGUUCUCCCCCCCACAAUGUCCUCGCCAUCUGCGGUGGGGACGGGGUCUCUGGGCACCUCGCUAUCGACGCGUAAGUGGUCCCACCUCCGUCUACUCUCUUCCCCCCCGCUGACGGUCACCUAUCAGCUCGUCGGAGGUGCCCACUCACCAGUCCCUCUCAGUACGUUCCCUUGCUUCCCUCCCAACGAUUGUGUCACUCAUAGUUGCGGUGGCGUAGCUUCCUCCUCUUUUCUCUCUUCUCUCUUUAGUGGCCCGUUCGCUAUCAUGGCGACGGCACGCCGCACAGCAUGGCUGACCCACCACCACGUACGUCCAUCAGAUCUCUGGGUUCGCCACAGAGGACCAGAACUCAUCUCCCUUCUAGUACCCACGUUGCACAAGGUGUCAGCCGCCCGUCGAUCGUAAGCCCACCCCGUGGCUGUCGACAUUCGCGCCGCGUCCCACUCAGGCUCCCACCCUCGUCGCGAAUCAAUUCACUGUGCCGGCGAAGAGGUGGACGAGCCAACGCCUUUCCGGUACAGUCGCCUGUCGGGGACGGGCGACUCGGAUUGUGCGGAGUGGACGCGUCGCAUUGCAAGGCUGAGCCUCCGACUAGUGAGUGUUUCCAACAUUGGCUAUUAUUUGGUCGAUACUUACCUUGGUGAUAAAGCGUGCGCAGGGAUCCUCAAGGCUCGAUACUGGAUGGAUAACAGGUGAUUAUUGAUCUCUGAUGCGGUCACUGACGCUUGUGACCUAUUCAGGGACCUGUCCUGGGCGUGGAACGCGUCGGGUAAGUGCUCUGAACUACCCUACACCGAGACCACACUACAUGUAAAUAGCGUAGUAAGACAGAAAUUGAAAUAUUUACCGUCCUGCUUUGGGCCAUCCGAUCUUACCACGCGACCUUCUGAGUUAGUGACAUAGGUACAUGAUCCUUACGAUGCCGGAAACUGUUUCUGAAGUCGGAUGGGACCACAAUUGCAAUCGCAAAAGAACCUCAACAUAUUUAACUCGCAGCCGAGCUGCCCACUAGGGGUAUAUCCAUCGCAGUAGCCCAUUCCUGGUCCGAAGACCUUGGACCCAGAUUCGGGAAAAUACACGUCGGGGUAUAUAUCGCCUAACCCACGUAAGAGACAGUAACCGAGUCAGACCCGGUCGAGGUAGAGGUGAGGACUUGGUUGUUUUGCUGGAUGUCGAUGAGCUCCGCACCCGAAGGACCCACAGUCGAGCCGCCGACGGUGCCCGCGGUCGCCCCAGUGAAUGUGACGCUCCCAAAGUCCGCGAACGGUACGAGCCCGUCAUUCGAGCUGAAGUCCUCCACGAUCCACUCCGCGUCGUACUCGCAAAGCGCCGGCUGGCCUGAAAACGUGUGCGAGACCGUCUGGCCCGUCGAUUCGUUCGUGACCUCCGCCGUGCCGCCCGUCGUCGACGUUGCGGUGACGGUGACGGUGACCGAGUCGCCUGCGGAGAAGCUGAUGCCCGAGAAGUCGUAUGCGUAGUCGGGGUACCACUCGUACCAUGCUGGAGUGGAGAGAGGUGCGAUCAGCGGGGGGGAAGUCGGAUGCGGAGAUAACGGGUCGUACCGUCAUAGCUGACGCUGCUGCCGUCGACGUUGAAGUCGACGCCGGUCUGGAGGAUGGCGUUGCCACAGGUGUCGCCAUCGAUGCCGACCCAAGCGGACGCAUAGUGCGCACCCGAGCCGCCAGAAGGCUCCUGGGGCGUGGGGACGGUGAAGGUGCCGGUGACGGACUUGUAGGUAGCCUAGCGAAUUGCAUGCAAUGACAGAUCAGCAUGCCGUGUGUGUAACAUAUCCAGACGAGUAUGGGGCCGCACCGUGCUCUGAGACAACACGGCACCGGCCCAGUUCUGGCUGUAGGAGACGUGCGAGACGUUGCCGCCAACGGCCUUGUUCUCGGUGGCUGGCGCGGUCGAGGCGAGCUUCGGCUGCGAGUGGUGGGUGAUGCCACCGGCACGACGUGCAAGACGCUGGGCAAAGCGCUCCUUGGAGGUGGGGAUGGCGAAGGCCGCGGUAGCGAGGAGCACCUGGCAGAGGAGCGUGGCAGCGAACAUGACAGUGAACGAAUGAGGGGAGUGACAGUCGGCUCGAAUGUGCUCUCAGAAGGGGGCGAAUCCCGAGCUGAGGGGCAGUGGUGUUCGUCUCGAAGCCUUUAUAUGCUGUCGACGACUUGAGUCCGAUGUCGUCAUAAACCGGACGGCCGAUGAACGCAUCGCGCGACGGGGUGUCGUGCUUGGACGGUGUGGUCAAACCGCAUCUGUUGAGCCACUUGGACAGAAAGAAGGUAGUAUGCGAUGAUUCUUGAUCAUUGAGGGAGGCUGCGAGAGACUGCACCACAUGCUUCGAGAGCCGCUAUAGGGAACACAGAAGUUGAAUGAUGGACAGGCAGUGUGAAAACCCAUUCCUAUGACGAAAUUGUGACUUGACGAUGGCCAAAUGGGGGAUGGGGAGAUUCUGCAUCUCGAGUCGGCACUGACGAGUUCCAGAAAUAAACUAGGGUCCAUGUACUGGUAGAUGAGCACCAGGACUGGGUUUUCCUGAGAAUACUGUAAGACGAUCAGCCGGACCAUCACACAUAUAAUCUGAAAUCGGGAAAGUACGGCUAAUGGGACUUGAUGAAGACUUACCAUGAACCUUGGCUACUAUUAACGUAUAGCCCGCAGUCCUACAGCAGCGCGUGCCGCUAUGCCCAACCAUCGUGCCGAUUGAUGGACGUCCCCAAGACGGUGCUUUACACAAAUCUUGAUGAUAAGAUCUAUUGAAGUCAUAUAGGAGCCUGAGAACCGUUAUACUUACAUUGGUCAAUGCCUAUGAGCGAUAGUGACAAACUUGAAUUGCGCACCUGAUGCACCGCAUGGAAUUACAAGUUCACAAGCGCAGAAAAGUUUUCUGGAAAGAAUAAGAGGGAGCCUUGCACAUGGAACAGCAAGGAAAUCGGACCGUACCAUCAUGCAUCAACAUCAACACCCAUCGUUCAUCGUCUCCCAGCAGCCAUGUCUGUUUGUCCAAUUACAAGACGCUAUGGGACUUAUCAAGAAGGUCGUGCUGGAUUAAAAGAGAGCCUGGUUAUACCAGCGUGAAGACAUACGAAGCAGGUGUUGUUGCAAACCGGGAGUUGGCACGCCCAGCCGUGGUCAUGCCAACGAUUGGGCGCUUGAUAGCCGACGAUCGUACCCAAAGCGGAAAUACAAGCGCCAGACGAGAUUGCACGAUGACAUCGAUGGGCCGGGGCUCUAGCCGGCUCUCAGAUGUCCUCUAUUAAAGCGGUUCGUUAUCAGCUCACUCCAAUGACAAGCUUUACGUAGUCUUCCCUUGUCAAUUUUAUGGAUUGGGUGCACACGGUUGACGUACCCUUGAAUACAGCGGUGAGUCACCCGGACAUCCAUCUUCGGCCCCCGACCGAACUCAGGGUUGCCAGAUCUCACUCCAUCGAUGAGUUGUGGAGACGGACAACGUUUUCAAAUAUUCAUGUAUGGGGUGAUCUAGAGGGAAAGAAGCCUCCCUUCACACCUCUCUCGAUCACCCCUCCAUAGGAUGGCCUAUAGCCAUCCUCCCUCAUGCGCGGCCAGCGACCUGACCACAAAAGCUGGUAGAGCGUAAUGGUUUUCGCAUGUUUCACCACGCCUUAACACCAAUAGCCUGUAGGGCAGAAAAAUCUGACACGGUGACUUGAACGUGAAGCCGGGCGCUGGUUACCUUUUGAUGAUCGCACAUGUGGCACAGAUCUUGUUGCAGAGGUUCGCGUUGGGCGGUGUGGUAGAUAGUAGACAAAUAGAAGGAAGCCAUGACGGCUGGCUGGUUCUCUGUAGCUAUUAAUCGCUGACACAGGCGAACAACAGAAUCACGCAUCUUCAGAACCCGAAUACGGGCUGACCUCUUAUCGAUCUCCAGGGCUGACUCCAACUUCAACAUGCCGACAGGUGCCGAGAAUGCUCGCCUCCAGAGUAUAAAACCCCGUUCUCUCAGCCGUCCUAUCCUUCCUCAGAACUCCCAUGUUCGCUUCUUCCCCUCCUCGUCGUCCUAGGUGCGCCGCCGACUCCCAUUGGUGUAUGCUAUGUGGGUCGCUGGUCGUACGCUCUCGGGUGAGGGAUCGAAUGUCGAGCUCGGAUGCUUCUCCCCCAACAUGUCCUCGCCAUCUGGGGCGGGGACGGGGUCUCUGGGCACCUCGCUAUCGACCUGUACGUUGUCUCAUCCUAUUCUGCACUCAUAUCCUUCAGCUAACCCUCCCAAAUCAGUUCGUGUCGGAGGUGCCCACUCACUACCAUCUCUCGGUACGUUCCUUCGCUUCCUUCCCGAUGCUUGUCGCUGAUUCCUGUGGACGAAUAGUCUUCUUUUUCCUCUCCUCUCUCCUUAGUGGCGUGUUCGCUAUCAUGGCGACCGCACGCCCCCUGUUGGCUGACCCAUCACCACGUACGUCCAUCAUAUCCCUGGGUUCGCUACGGAAGACUACAACUCACCUCAUCGACUCUAGCACCCAUAUUGCACAAGGUGUCAGCCGCCCGUCGAUCGUAAGCCCACCCCGUGGCUGUCGACGUUCGCGCCGCGUCCCACUCAGGCUCCUACCCUCGUCGCGAAUCACUUCACUGUGCCGGCGAAGAGGUGUAUGAACCAACGCCUUUCCGGUACAGUCGCCUGUCGGGGACGGGCGACUCGGAUUGUGCGGAGUGGGCGCGUCGCAUUGCAAGGCUGAGCCUCCAACUAGUGAGUGUUUUCAACAUUAUACGGUAUAUGAUCGAAUGCUUAUGCUUACCUCAUUAACUGCAGCGUGCGCCGGGACUUUCCAGCAUAAACGCAAGUGAGUAUUGAUCUUCGACCUCGUUGACUGACAAUUGCGUCAUUAUUCGGUAGUAUCAGCCCCGAUCUGGAGCUGAAGUGCGUGGUAACUCCAAUGCAAUCGGAUAACCUCAGGAGCAGCGGCGAGGUUUCCGUCGUGUUAUGGACAUGUACAUAUAUAGCAUAGUAGUCUCGAAAAUAAAAUUUGCUGGGAUGGUAGCAGUCGCACAACAAGGACGCUGGCACAUUUGACGAGUAGCUGCUCAUCGACAUCGGUGGUCGGUGCUCGGGCUGUUGGUCCAAUGCAUGCGAAGGACUUCGUCCAUCUCGAAGAUCAUUUAUUGACUCUUCGUGGGCAAAAACCCACCGACAUGCCUUUGAAGUGUUCUGGAUCUCGGCCUCCAGAUCAGCGACGGGUUUGGUAAUCGUGCACGACGGCGAUCUGAUUUACCUCGCAAUAGAAGGUGCUCACAGCGACAAUUUAUCUCUUUGUACAAGUCUUGCUAGAGGAGACGCCUUGCCAUACGAAUGACGUUGAAUGCGGACAAGGGGGUUAGCUUCCAGCUCGAGCACAGGCAACCAAUUCAGACUCACAGUCAAGAGGAUCAUGAUUGGGUACCGAAGAUUGUAGCAAUGGAAGAAUUCCUUAGAGGGCUGUAAUUUCAUCGGGCUUCAUAGUUUCAAAGCAAAAAAGGUCUAGGGUGCUCUCCAAGGAUUGGAUGCAGUGUCACUGGAGGGGUCGAUGUACACGUCCAAUGUGAGAUGGUAAGAAUCGUUCGAUACAGUCAAAGCUGUACAGCAGCGUCAGACGUGAUCAUCUGUAUCACGUCUUUCCAUUGCUUCCUUGAAACUCUGUGAGUGAUGACACAGUGGCGCAGCAGGUGAAUGAUAGUCAAUGUUGGCCGAGAACGGGCAGAAGCACUUGCGAUCAGCGAGUAAGUAGUGGUGGCAGAUGAGAAAGGAGCAAAUGCAGUGUGCCGCCUCGGCAGACUGUCCGCAAGAAGCCGAUUUGCGCGCCUAUCAGUCUGUCGCGUUCGUCUCCGAGUCCCUUCUGCACUCUGCCUGCUCUCUACCUGCAGCCCUACGGGACUCGAAGACACCUCACCGCCUCCAGACCCCCCCCGCUUUGUAAACCGACAUGCUCUCCCUUGACUUGCUUUACUGUGGGUGGUGCGUGGAAUCUAUCUCCGAAGCGCGGCGAGGCUAUUAAGACGCCGCCGCCGACUGCGCGCCGUGCCUAUCCUGCAUCCUUGCUGUCGAAUGUCCUACGAUCGUCGCACUUGAGCUUUGCACCAGCUCUUCGCGUUUCCCAAGCAACAUUACACCUCACACGCUCCCUGAUGACCUCACCUCCAUGGGGCAUCUUUUGCGCAAGAGUUGCAAACAACCAGGCCUGCCUCUGCCUGCUUGGGCACGUCUGAUCACCCUCACUGCUUCCAACAAGAAUUGACAAAGCCCAGGGCCCAGGCCACGUUUUCGUAUGUUCCAGCCACGGAGGAUAGUUUCAUUGCGCGUCGUGUUGGAAACCGGUGUGAAUUUGUAGUACGGCAACCGGCCUUCCUUCCGCGGCGAUCUUCCGAGCCGCCGGCCCCUUUUCCCGGCGCCUCCCCCACUUCACCCAUCGUCCGCACCGGUUGCGUCCAUUUUUACCGUGUCAAAACCCUCAGAACCCUCGACGGCGAUGUCAACUCGAGGCUAUUCUCAUCCGAGCCCACUGGUGACGCCCAGUCGGAUAAUUUUAUCUCCGGGCUGCCUCUGCGCGGAUCGCAAACGGCUGUCACUCAGGCGAGCCCCGGACCCCAAGCUUGUCAUUCUGGAGUUUCGGCCUGAUCUGGGCAACGCAGCCGGCCGCUUGAUGAUGCGUGAGAUCCCGUAUAUAAGGUCGAGGCGAGGCUUAUGUCGGCCACCUGUUGGCUGGUCCGUUUCGUGCUCGCUCGCUCGCUGUUUCUGUUUCGUCCUCCGUUCCGCCCCUUUCAGGCUUUCAGUCUUUCUCCCCGCGUACCGGUUUACGCAACAUGCAGUGGCUUAUUGUAGUCCGCGAGACGGCCCUCAGUGAGUUGCGCUUCGUACUCUGUCAAGAGCCGUCAGAUUGGCGAUUCUGACAAGGGUUGUUUCUUGAUACUAGCGCUGGCCACCAUUACCGCUAUCAUCUCGCACGCUAUGGGCGGGCUCACCAUUAACUUGUCGGUCGGCGGCGUGUUCACAGAGGACAUCCUGUACGCUCACUUGGCUGUCGCGGGCGGUGUGUCGACUAUCCUCUCCUUGCCCAUGAUGUGCGCCUAUCUCUCUUUGUUCUAUUAUCGUGCUGCGCAGACCUAACGACGGAAAUGUUCUGAUGAUAGCCUCCUUUACGACAUGGCUCAAGAGAAGUCCUAUUGUGCAACGGUCCUUUUCGAGCUGAUUUGGAUGCGUAAGCUCUCGCAUUUCUGCUUGCUCGUCGAGCGCGGCUGUAGCUGACUGUGCUUCCACGAUGUCCUGUAGUGGGACUUAUCAUUCUCUGGAUUGUCGCCGGUGUCAAGACGACCGGUGUGACCAGUGGAACUUUCAAGGAUUGCAGCACCAUUUCCGUCGCGGCCGUCCAGGGUCUGUGUGGCGACGCGCAGACCCUCGUCCUCUUCGCGUUCCUUACUGCGGGUAUUUGUGAGUACCGCCCUGUCUACGUCCACCGCACGUACCUGGCAGACGUGUGUGUGACAUCUGAUUAACUUGAACCCUGACGUCGGACGUCUAUGCCAUUAACAGUGGGUGCCUACGCUCUCGCCCUUACCGGAGUCGCUGUCGGCCGCGCCUCCAGCGGCCAGUCCAUCUGGACACACUACCCCAUCCCGUCCGCCAAGAAGCACUAGACGCAUUCGCAAUCAUGCAUAAUCCGUACAUCGCAGUGGGGGCCAUCUGCCGGGUGGAUGGGACAGGAUGAGAUUGAGACGAGAUAAGUGGAUGGACUCCGGAUGGGACGUGGUCACGGUGUGCCAUGUCCUGCUGUCGCUCGCUUUAGACCUGUCACUUAUUCGCUCAUGUGUAUUUUCAUCUGUCUGGAACUGGAAAGCGGAGCCGGCGUUCGGACAGCAGCCACACUGCGGCGGCGACAGACGGUUGCCUGCACACCUGUGCUUGUCACCACUGCGGCGGUUCGGACGGCGCGGAUCUGUAUUAUAUGUGAGUAGAUAAUGGAGGCGUCUUGCUAAGUUACCAAUGGGCCUGGUACUCGACGACGAUCGCGCGAAACGGCGGGAGGCAUCUCCGUGGCAGCAGCUUCUCACGACAACAACUUACCGAUAACAGGUAUCGUAAUACUGUCAAUACCUUCUGCACUGGUCAUCAUCCUCUUAUAGCUCCAGGUUGCGGACGUUGCGACGAUGCUCCCGAGCAACUGUCAUGCAAUUUCUCCGCCUCCGUUCGAUCGUGGACGUCGGAAUGCACGGUGACGGUGUAUCCAGCUGUGAGUAUGGUGUGGCGCUUGCAUAAAUACCGUUACCUCUUGAGAAGCGGUGACGAUCAUGAGAAAGAUAUCCUUGUGUCCCUUGGAUGCAUUUAUCACGUUCGCUUUUAGGUACUCGUCGCUCAAUAUUUACGCCCCGACCAGGCCCGACUGCGGCACCUUUGUCGCGCGCUGACGCCUGCCAGUGGGGUUCGUCUUCGGAAGAUGGACUGGACCACUGUGAUUCCGCUUACAGGAAGUGUUCUGGACCAUGUUUCCCCUAGCUGCGGUCGCGGCACAGUCCCGUACGAUGUCUCCCGUCCGCCUUGCUAGUGAGUCGUGACUUUCAUAUCUGCCACCACAGGUAGUCGACAGUCUGAGUAACGCUGAUCGACCAACAAGACCAUCGUAUAUCACCUUGUCGAAUUUGCGCCAUAGGAUACGUAUGAUCUGGGCUUACGAGACUUGCCAGUGUCAAGAGCAUCACGAUGCCAAUCUUCGGGACGCUACAAACUAGAUUCAUCCCUGCAAACCCGUCCAGUUCAUCAAUGUGCGCAAGUACUCGUUCACAGCAUGCAGAAGUUCCUUCAUGAUGCGAGCGACUGGUGGCAGGUCAGUUGGCUCGCUGAUAUUUAUUUUCUAGACUAAUACGGUAUUUACAUGUUACUGACACGAUCAACCCUCCUCUGCUACUAGAUUAUAUCAUGAUACCAGAAGAUUUACCUGACGCGUCAAGUCCUAGGCAUACAGCAAGCGUCACUGAACAGGUCGAAGAUCGACACUCACUUGCAUCUAUCCGUGUCUAUGCGGAUACUCCCGGUGCACGCUACAGUGAAUGAGGUAAGUAUCAACCAUAUACCGUCAAAGGUCGGAUAAAUGCUCACUAGUUGGAGGCUCAGCCUUGCAAUGCGACGCGUCCACUCCGCACAGUCCGAGUCGCCCGUCCCCGACAGACGACUGUACCGGAAAGGCGUUGGCUCGUCCACCUCUUCGCCGGCACAGUGAAGUGAUUCGCGACGAGGGUAGGAGCCUGAGUGGGACGCGGCGCGAACGUCGACAGCCACGGGGUGGGCUUACGAUCGACGGGCGGCUGACAC
rnacentral:lncRNA from 1 species